rfam:Picea glauca, whole genome shotgun sequence.
AAAAUGGUGUCUUUAGACACCACCAAUUUUAUUUGAUUAUUUGAUU